rfam:Gorilla gorilla gorilla genomic chromosome, chr15, whole genome shotgun sequence
UGGCAUCAUGUUAGCACUCAAAAAGUUUUGGAUUUUGGAGCAUUUCAGAUUUCAGAUUUUUGAACUAAGGAUGCUG